rnacentral:rRNA from 1 species
UCCGUAGGUGAACCUGCGGAAGGAUCAUUACCAAUUCAACGGUGUGGUCGCGGCCUCCGGGGGCUCCCCCCGGGCGGUAGAGGUAACACUCUUACGCGCCACAUGUCUGAAUCCUUUUUUUACGAGCACCUUUCGUUCUCCUUCGGUGGGGCAACCUGCCGUUGGAACUUAUCAAAACCUUUUUUUGCAUCUAGCAUUACCUGUUCAGAUACAAACAAUCGUUACAACUUUCAACAAUGGAUCUCUUGGCUCUGGCAUCGAUGAAGAACGCAGCGAAAUGCGAUAAGUAGUGUGAAUUGCAGAAUUCAGUGAAUCAUCGAAUCUUUGAACGCACAUUGCGCCCCUUGGUAUUCCAUGGGGCAUGCCUGUUCGAGCGUCAUCUACACCCUCAAGCUCUGCUUGGUGUUGGGCGUCUGUCCCGCCUCUGCGCGUGGACUCGCCCCAAAUUCAUUGGCAGCGGUCUUUGCCUCCUCUCGCGCAGCACAUUGCGCUUCAGAGGGGUGUGGGCCGCGUCCACGAAGCAACAUUAUCGUCUUUGACCUCGGAUCAGGUAGGGAUACCCGCUGAACUUAAGCAUAUCAAUAAGCGGAGGAAAAGAAACCAACAGGGAUUGCCCUAGUAACGGCGAGUGAAGCGGCAACAGCUCAAAUUUGAAAUCUGGCUCUCUUUGGGGGUCCGAGUUGUAAUUUGCAGAGGAUGCUUUGGCAUUGGCGGCGGUCUAAGUUCCUUGGAACAGGACAUCGCAGAGGGUGAGAAUCCCGUACGUGGGCGCCUGCCUUUGCCGUGUAAAGCUCCUUCGACGAGUCGAGUUGUUUGGGAAUGCAGCUCUAAAUGGGAGGUAAAUUUCUUCUAAAGCUAAAUACCGGCCAGAGACCGAUAGCGCACAAGUAGAGUGAUCGAAAGAUGAAAAGUACUUUGGAAAGAGAGUCAAAAAGCACGUGAAAUUGUUGAAAGGGAAGCGCUUGCAGCCAGACUUGCCCGCAGUUGCUCACCUAGGCUUUGGCCUGGGGCACUCUUCUGCGGGCAGGCCAGCAUCAGUUUGGGGGUCGGACAAAGGCCUCUGUCAAGUAUCUCCCUUCGGGGUGACCUUAUAGGGGAGGCGUAAUGCGACCAGCCCGGACUGAGGUCCGCGCAUCUGCUAGGAUGCUGGCGUAAUGGCUGUAAGCGGCCCGUCU